GACUCCGUGGAUUGGGGUAUCGAUGAAUUCCUGGUAUAGCCCAUAGCCCAUCGCCUAGCUCUAUCGCCCGACAACGACAGCUUAUUAGUUUAUAGUAUCAACAAUACAA